rnacentral:rRNA from 1 species
CAAGUCGAGCGAGAACCGUAGCAAUACGGGGACAGCGGCGAAAGGGACAGUAAUGUGUAGGUACCUACCUCCGGGUUCGGGAUAGCUGCGGGAAACUGCAGGUAAUACCGAAUAAUGUCUCCGGACCAAAGGUGUGAUUCCACCUGGAGAGGGGCCUGCAUCCUAUUAGCUUGUUGGCGGGGUAACGGCCCACCAAGGCGACGAUGGGUAGCGGGUGUGAGAGCACGACCCGCGUCAUUGGGACUGAGACACUGCCCAGACACUUACGGGUGGCUGCAGUCGAGGAUCUUCGGCAAUGGGCGCAAGCCUGACCGAGCGACGCCGCGUGCGGGAUGAAGGCCUUCGGGUUGUAAACCGCUGUCGUAGAGGAGGAAAUGCAGGGGGGUUCUCCCCCCUGUUUGACCUAUUCUAGGAGGAAGUACGGGCUAAGUUCGUGCCAGCAGCCGCGGUAAGACGAACCGUACAAACGUUACUCGGAAUUACUGGGCUUAAAGGGUGCGUAGGCUGCGCGGAAAGUCGGAUGUGAAAGCCCUCAGCUCAACUGGGGAAUUGCACUCGAAACUACCGUGCUCGAGGGAGACAGAGGUAAGCGGAACUCAAGGUGGAGCGGUGAAAUGCGUUGAUAUCUUGAGGAACACCGGUGGCGAAGGCGGCUUACUGGGUCUCUUCUGACGCUGAGGCACGAAAGCCAAGGUAGCAAACGGGAUUAGAUACCCCGGUAGUCUUGGCUGUAAACGAUGAGCACUUGUUUGAAGGGUCCUCCAUAGCCUUUUAGACGUACGAAAGUGUUAAGUGCUCCGCCUGGGGAGGUAUGGUCGCAGGUUGAAACUCAAAAAGUUGACGG